GAUGAACGCUAGCGGCAGGCCUAAUACAUGCAAGUCGAACGAGAUUGUUGUAGCAAUAUGACAUGAAAGUGGCGCACGGGUGCGUAACACGUAUGCAAUCUACCUCUAAUUGGAGAAUAGCCUCGAGAAAUCGGGAUUAAUACUCCAUAACAUUAUUGAAUGGCAUCAUUCGAUAAUCAAACUUCCGGGGAUUAGAGAUGAGCAUGCGCAACAUUAGCUAGUUGGUAAGGUAAUGGCUUACCAAGGCUACGAUGUUUAGGGGGUCUGAGAGGAUGUUCCCCCCAACUGGUGCUGAGACACGGACCAGACUCCUACGGGAGGCAGCAGUAGGGAAUAUUGGGCAAUGGAGGAAACUCUGACCCAGCCAUGCCGCGUGCAGGAUGACGGCCCUCUGGGUUGUAAACUGCUUUUAUACGGGAAGAAAAAAUACUACGUGUAGUAUACUGACGGUACCGUAAGAAUAAGGAUCGGCUAACUCCGUGCCAGCCGCCGCGGUAAGAC
rnacentral:rRNA from 1 species